rnacentral:tRNA from 1 species
GCCUGGGUGGCUUAGUUGGUUAAGCAUCCAACUUCAGCUCAGGUCACGAUCUAACUGUUCAUGGGUUUGAGCCCCAUAUCGGGCU